rnacentral:rRNA from 1 species
UACGGAGGGUGCGAGCGUUGUCCGGAAUCAUUGGGCGUAAAGGGCGCGUAGGUGGCCCGGUCAGUUCGUGGUGAAAGCGCGGGGCUCAACCCUGCGUCGGCCAUGAAUACUGCCGCGGCUGGAGCACUGUAGAGGCAGGCGGAAUUCCGGGUGUAGCGGUGGAAUGCGUAGAGAUCCGGAAGAACACCGGUGGCGAAGGCGAAUCCCUGGAAAAUACCUGACACUGAGGCACGAAAGCUAGGGGAGCAAACAGG